rnacentral:rRNA from 1 species
CCUACGGGGGGCUGCAGUGGGGAAUAUUGGGCAAUGGAGGCAACUCUGACCCAGCAACGCCGCGUGAAUGAUGAAGGUCUUCGGAUUGUAAAGUUCUGUGAUUGGGGAUGAACACAAUGACGGUACCCCAAUAGCAAGCCACGGCUAACUACGUGCCAGCAGCCGGGGUAAUACGUAGGUGGCAAGCGUUAUCCGGAAUGACUGGGCGUAAAGGGUGCGUAGGUGGUUUAGGAAGUUGGCGGGGUAAUUCCGGGUCUCAACCUCGGAGCUAACCCAAAACUAUUAGGCUAGAGUGCAGGAGGGGUAAGUGGAAUUCCGAGUGUAGCGGUGAAAUGCGUAGAUAUUAGGAGGAACAUCAGGGGCGAAGGCGACUUACUGGACUGUAACUGACGCUGAGGCACGAAAGCGUGGGGAGCAAACAGGAUUAGAUACCCGAGUAGUC